UUCCUUGUCUGCUUCCCCAGGAGAUCAAAGGUCGGAGACACUGACUGCUAAUGGAAGAACUGCUACUUGAAAAGCACUAUCCGUCCAUUUUCUCAUCAGAUCCUCAACAACUCUACAAGGUAAAGCUGUCUGCAAUUGAAUGUUAAGUUGACGGUUCAAAGGCAGCACCAGAAGAUGAGGCACAUUCCUGAGAGCUGGAACCCUGGGCUCCAUAAAAUUUCAGUUUCCCACCAUCAACUGCGGUCCCAGAAGCAGAUGAUCCUCCUUCUGAUGAAUCAUCAGACAGUCAGUAGUCACCGAACCUAUGCCACGAUACCUACAUCAUCCGCCCAGCUUCACCUCAUCUCGUAGGCAUUUUAUCAGCUUACCUCAUGGCA